CCAAGGACGCGGCGCGGAUGGAAAUGUGUCGCCGCGAUACAGAUAUUUGAAAACACGUCAGUUUCUUCUGUUUGGGGCAGCAAGGCGAGUCGGAUUCAGCCUGCUGAAGACUGCGCAAAAUCGAUCCCGCAUGCUGGGCCGGGCGCCCUCGGCCUGGUCUGGCAAGGCAAGUCGGAUUCAGCCUGCUGAAGACUGCGCAAAAUCGAUCCCGCAUGCUGGGCUGGGCGCCCUUGGCCUGGUCUGACACUCAUCCCUGGAAAACACCGGAAACUCAUAACUGGGAUGAUGGCCGAAGUAUUUAUUAUGACCUGCUGUUCCCGACAAUCAUCCCGACAACAUCGGCAGACGACCUGAACCAAGCACACGUGAACAGGUGACAACAAUGGGCCGACUGGAUCAAAUGUUACCGAGGAGCAAGAUCGGAAUCCAUCUGGAAACCAAGAGAAUGAUGACCCGAUUGCUAAUUCUGGAGAAACCUGUUGUGGCUUUGAUUUCGACCAGAACACCAGCUGCCAGGUUGAAACAUUUAUUGGGAGACUGACUGACUGAGCUGGGGGACCCAAGGGAGUUUGGUCAGUGCAUCUACAAAUUCUCUUCAACAGAGAGGGAAUUGAUGAUUGCAGAAGUGUAAUUUUAUUGAGUUUGUCCAUAAUAACUCUUUACCUCUAUCUUCUCCGAUGCUUUGUAGCGCUGAUUCCUUAAGCACGCUACACAGUCAUAUAAACAAUAAUCGCACUGACACACUGAUCAAGACCUAUUGCAAAAACAUCUGAUCAACACCCAUGGUGGGUUAUCUGAUUAUUGUUUAUACUGUCCAUGAUAAGACUGUUGUUUGAGGGUAGAGCUGUGGAAGCUCCUGCAGGGAAUCGUGGGUAAUCUGCUUGGUCCGGGAGUUCAUCCUCUGCUCUCCAGGCCUGAGAGGUCCGGCCGGGUGUGGAGGCCGAGCCGGCUUGGGUGAAGGAUUGCUCCUCAGCAGUUAUGAGCCAUUAAAUCACGCCCAGGAAAUCUCAAGGUUCCCCAAGACUGCUGCACAAGGAAUCUUUGCCCAGAGAAAUAUUGUUUAUGGUUUAAAAGCCAGCGAUGGAUUUAUAAAAGAAACAUUCAUCAUCGCAAGAAAACGGAACAAAACAUUUCGGAAAUAAAUACUCACUCUAUAGGUAUACUUGUCACCUAGACAGCCCAAUAACAAGUGAAUUGGUGCUAGGAUCCCUCAUCUUCUGACGUAGACCCAUCCCCCACGGAUCGGCGAGUUCAGCUGAGAGGAGUCGAGGGGCACUGAGGGGAACCAACCAGAAAGGGUCGUGUGAACAUCACGGUUGGCAUGGCGACUGUCAUCCGAGGGUUGUGCUCCAUGUGCGUGUAGCGUUGGCGUGACCUUCCCAUGUGACAGAGGUUUCCCUUGGUAUCCACCCGCAUUCCAAAGACGUGCAGUUAGACUGACUGGCGUCUUGGGUACCACUGUGUGCAUGUAUUAAUAUAGCGCCUUUCACAACACACUUGCCGCUGGACACUUGAUGAGAGUGCGCGGUAAACCAUUAUACCAUAAUUUAUAAAUAAUGGUGCAUGAAACAGGAAAAGGAGAAUGAAUGAGUGAGUGAACGCCAGAAGAUGACGGACGAGAGUAUGUUCCUGUGAAUGGACUGGAAUCGCAACCAGGUUGUACCCCCCUGCCUGAGACAGGCCCAGCCACCCCCAACUCUGUCGCACAUAAGCAGUUGGAAGAUGGAUGGAUGUGCCGUUUUUCCCAGUCAUGAAUCAAUUGAAAGCCAGCUGCUAUUGAUGAGAAUCGAUCCUCAGAUCGAUCACAAUAGUGGACGCAGUGUUGCGCUCAAACGGUCCAGCUCGCCGUCUUGAUGCUGGAUGUCGGACAGCAGGAACAGUGACAUCAUGACAUCUGCUGCGGCCGUGAGAAAAGCCAACUGGCGGGAGACUCUCGGCCUUUCCUGCGUCGUGCUGUGUGCAAAGU